rnacentral:lncRNA from 1 species
CCAAUAGUCAUGGGAUUUGUUCUCUUUUCACAAAUGCCUUCAUUUUUUCCUGUCUCUACACUUCUCUUAUUCCUAAUAAUAUCCCACUCUUGUCGUGCCCAAAAUUCUCAACAAGACUAUUUGGAUGCCCAUAAUACAGCUCGUGCAGAUGUAGGCGUAGAACCUUUAACCUGGGACGACGAGGUAGCAGCUUAUGCAGAAAAUUAUGCUUCUCAAUUGGCUGCAGACUGCAACCUCGUACAUUCUCAUGGUCAAUACGGCGAAAACUUAGCUGAGGGAAGUGACGAUUUCAUGACGGCUGCUAAGGCCGUUGAGAUGUGGGUCGAUGAGAAGCAGUAUUAUGACCAUGACUCAAAUACUUGUGCACGAGGACAGGUGUGUGGACACUAUACUCAAGUGGUUUGGCGUAACUCGGUUCGUGUUGGAUGUGCUAGGGUUCAGUGUAACAAUGGAGGAUAUGUUGUCUCUUGCAACUAUGAUCCUCCAG